GACGAACCGUGCGAACGUUGUUCGGAAUCACUGGGCUUAAAGGGCGCGUAGGCGGGCGACAAAGUCCGGGGUGAAAUCCUUCGGCUUAACCGAAGAAUUGCCUUGGAUACUGGUCGUCUUGAGGGAGGUAGGGGCAUGUGGAACUUCCGGUGGAGCGGUGAAAUGCGUUGAUAUCGGAAGGAACGGCGGUGGCGAAAGCGACGUGCUGGAUCUCUUCUGACGCUGAGGCGCGAAAGCUAGGGGAGCAAACGGG
rnacentral:rRNA from 1 species